rnacentral:rRNA from 1 species
UGGGGAAUAUUGGACAAUGGGCGCAAGCCUGAUCCGGCCAUGCCGCGUGAGUGAUGAAGGCCUUAGGGUUGUAAAGCUCUUUCGGCGGGGAAGAUAAUGACGGUACCCGCAGAAGAAGCCCCGGCUAACUUCGUGCCAGCAGCCGCGGUAAUACGAAGGGGGCUAGCGUUGCUCGGAAUCACUGGGCGUAAAGCGCACGUAGGCGGCUUACUAAGUCAGGGGUGAAAUCCUGGAGCUCAACUCCAGAACUGCCUUUGAUACUGGUGAGCUUGAGUUCGGGAGAGGUGAGUGGAACUGCGAGUGUAGAGGUGAAAUUCGUAGAUAUUCGCAAGAACACCAGUGGCGAAGGCGGCUCACUGGCCCGAUACUGACGCUGAGGUGCGAAAGCGUGGGGAGCAAACA